rnacentral:rRNA from 1 species
UACGUAGGGAGCAAGCGUUGUCCGGAAUCAUUGGGCGUAAAGCGCGCGUAGGUGGCCUCAUAAGUCCGUUGUGAAAGUCAAAGGCUCAACCUUUGAAAGCCGAUGGAUACUGUGAGACUAGAGUACGGAAGAGGCGAGUGGAAUUCCUGGUGUAGCGGUGAGAUGCGCAGAUAUCAGGAGGAACACCGGUGGCGAAGGCGGGUCUCUGGGCCGAUACUGACGCUGAGGCACGAAGGUCAGGGGAGCAAACGGG